CUGCCGCGACCUCUACUCCAAUUGGACAAGGUGAUCCUGCUGAAAGCAGUCCUACCAACGAACGUGCUUGGCCUCCUUGGACUCCUGCUUCUGCGGGCCAAGGAGCAGCUGCCGGACAGGAUGCUGAUCCUUGUUAUAACACGCUGGACACUUGGAGUCCUUGGAAAAGGCCAGUUGUGCAAGGUACGUGUUGAAAUUCAUAAAUCAAUUUGCUUGUGUGGUGACAGCACAAAGUGGCCACUCUCUGGUG
rnacentral:lncRNA from 1 species